GACGAACGCUGGCGGCGCGCCUAACACAUGCAAGUCGAACGGAGCUGAGAGAAGCUUGCUUUUCUUAGCUUAGUGGCGAACGGGUGAGUAACGCGUGAGUAACCUGCCCUGGAGUGGGGGACAACAGUUGGAAACGACUGCUAAUACCGCAUAAGCCCACGAUCCGGCAUCGGAUUGAGGGAAAAGGAUUUAUUCGCUUCAGGAUGGACUCGCGUCCAAUUAGCUAGUUGGUGAGGUAACGGCCCACCAAGGCGACGAUUGGUAGCCGGACUGAGAGGUUGAACGGCCACAUUGGGACUGAGACACGGCCCAGACUCCUACGGGAGGCAGCAGUGGGUGAUAUUGCACAAUGGGGGAAACCCUGAUGCAGCGACGCCGCGUGGAGGAAGAAGGUUUUCGGAUUGUAAACUCCUGUCGUUAGGGACGAUAAUGACGGUACCUAACAAGAAAGCACCGGCUAACUACGUG
rnacentral:rRNA from 1 species